CUGUGGGUGGCGAGUGGCGGACGGGUGAGUAAUGCAUCGGGACCUACCUAGACUGGGGGAUAACGUAGGGAAACUUACGCUAAUACCGCAUACGUCCUACGGGAGAAAGCAGGGGACCUUCGGGCCUUGCGCGGUUAGACGGACCGAUGUUCGAUUAGCUUGUUGGUGAGGUAAUGGCUCACCAAGGCGACGAUCGAUAGCUAGUCUGAGAGGAUGAUCAGCCACACUGGAACUGAGACACGGUCCAGACUCCUACGGGAGGCAGCAGUGGGGAAUAUUGGACAAUGGGCGCAAGCCUGAUCCAGCAAUGCCGCGUGUGUGAAGAAGGCCUUCGGGUUGUAAAGCACUUUUAUCAGGAGCGAAAUACUACCGGCUAAUACCCGGUGGGGCUGACGGUACCUGAGGAAUAAGCACCGGCUAACUUCGUGCCAGCAGCCGCGGUAAU
rnacentral:rRNA from 1 species